rnacentral:rRNA from 1 species
GACGAACGCUGGCGGCGUGCUUAACACAUGCGAGUCGAACGGUGAAGCGCUUUCCUUUUUGGUUGGUGUGGAUGAGUGGCGAACGGGUGAGUAACACGUGAGUAACCUGCCCCCUUCUUCUGGAUAACCGCAUGAAAGUGUGGCUAAUACGGGAUAUUCUGCGCCUGCUGCAUGGUGGGUGUGGGAAAGAUUGUGCCUUUGGGUGUUUUCGGUGGGGGAUGGGCUCGCGGCCUAUCAGCUUGUUGGUGGGGUGAUGGCCUACCAAGGCGGUGACGGGUAGCCGGCCUGAGAGGGUGGACGGUCACACUGGGACUGAGACACGGCCCAGACUCCUACGGGAGGCAGCAGUGGGGAAUAUUGCACAAUGGGCGCAAGCCUGAUGCAGCGACGCCGCGUGAGGGAUGGAGGCCUUCGGGUUGUGAACCUCUUUCGCCAGUGAAGCAGGCCUGCUCCUUGUGGGUGGGUUGACGGUAGCUGGAUAAGAAGCGCCGGCUAACUACGUG